AUGAAAGACUUGACUGUUGCCAAGAGUUGGGGGAAGUUUUUCCCUUAAAACUAGACUGUUAGCCCGGAUGCCCCGGUUGGUGAAGCUCACAAAGAGGCAAAGAAGGUUGCCUCAAGAUAUAAACCUGGCUGACAGCAUGAACGACUGAGAGGGCUCCACUCUUCAAUUCCCAGAAUUAUGCCCGUGGUCACGUUGUGAAACUUGAGGCCUAGUUUAGAAAGCCCCGUAAUAGAAUAAUACAAAACUCACAGGACUCCAUUUUCUUGUGGGCGGCCGAGUUGCUCUGGAUGACGUUGAUGAAGAUAAUGAUAAAAAUACGCCCCCUGGAGGGGGUAAAGUGCAGGAACAGGGACCAGGCCUUAAGCGCUAGGAAUUCCAAUUAAAGACUUCCCAGGUCCAUGGAGUAAUUUACAUUUCUGGGCCAUAUGUAAAGAACCCAGAUGGUGUAUCUUGAGAAGCGGGCUGCUUCGGCCUCAGCUUUUAUCUUCUGAAUAGUCAAAGCAGCGUCCCAAUCCAUUACCUGAUCAUGGAAAUGGUAACUUUUAACUAAAAUAAGCUCUGUUCACUUACACUUCAACAAGUUCCCACCUGUAAUCACACACGAAAACAACAGAUGUGAGAAAUAUCAACUUCGUCCUGAGAUUCAAGAGCCUGGGGAUUCUUCUCAGGAGUCUCUUACUCGUUUACCAUGUGACUUCAAAUGAAUCAAUUGGGCCUUUUUCUAAAAUGUGGGGUAUAUACUAAAUGUGCCAACUUCGAGGCUAUUUUCCAUUUCUAGGUUGUAUAACUAACUAGAAUUUCCUGAAGAAAGAAUGAAGAAAACCACUUGGGUUUCAUCUUUUAAAAUGGCUGCCUAAUUUAACUGGACAAAGAUGUUGGCUUGAUGAGUAUUCAGGAGGGCGUGGCCACACCCAGACCUUCAGCUACACGCCCCACGUCUGCCACAGCCUAAUUUUGAAUGUGUAUAUAUUCCUUUCAUCCACUUUUAUAUACCCCUCGAGGAUACUAAGAAGUAAUUGCAUUGUACAAAUUAAUGUUACAAGUUAAUUUUAUAUGAAACCAGAGUAAGAGGGGAUCCCCACAGAAAAAUAUAGUAGACUUAGGGAAGUAGAGAUUUGAAGGUCAACAUACAUUUUAUUCAACAUCCAACCACUAAGAACAAUAAAGGUUAUCCAACACACAUUGUCCAAAAUGGCUCACAAACUGAGUAAUUAAAAGGCACGUUUCCAAAGCCUGUAAGGCUUACUGGCUUCUCUUAAUUCAGGCAAACUGUUCUUCCUUCAAUGGAGAAAAUAAACUAGACAUACCAUUUAUCUAAUUGAACAGUGAUUCUCAUCAAUUGCCCUAAAAUGUGAAUGCAGGAGGUGUCCCACUCUUCUGAGCAGUGACCACUUCAACAGAUGUUCUCAUUCCAAAUGACACACUUUGUGACCACCAAAUUCAAGCAAUUUUUAGGGGUGAAUCAUCCUGGAGCAAGUCUGACCGCAAUUAUAUGCCACAUGAUCCUGUAAUUAUUAUACUGUAGGAAUGAAACUCAGUCUUUAAAGUCUUAGGGUAAUUGUAGCAAAGAAGUGGGUAUUUAUUUUUCUCAUUAUUUUUCAAGAUUUUAAUCCACAGUUUUCUCUUUAUACAAAGCAGAACUUCUUAGGGCACAAAUGGGCUGCUCUUUAGUCAAUGACCUUACCUCAUUGACAUGAACUAUUUAUAGCAAAAAUCAGACUCCUGAAUCAAUUUGCUUUCAUUGAUGCAAAUUAGACCUUUGGGGGAAAGGGCUAAGUCACUUCAAUGGUUU
rnacentral:lncRNA from 1 species